AGCCUGGCGCCAAUAACCCGCGAGACAUUUUUUGCCUGGGGUGCUCCUGUCUGAAAGGAAAGAGGAAAGGACGAAUAAGAACUUAUACUCGAACUCCCGAAUUUCUCUUUUCAAGGUUUAAGAGGAAAGCUGGUUCGUGGGGAUUGGAUGGGAGGCCACCAGGAAACCAAGUUCCCGCGCCAGCUUCAGUGCUCUCCUCUUCCCGCCGCCUUUGCCCCGCCCACAUCAUUUUCGCUCCAGUUUUUGAAAACUCUGCAAAGCGGAACGGUCAACAGGGGAAAAAGGAGGAGGGGCCAAAGCCAGGACUUUCAGACCAGCGCGCGGUCAAGCCCAGGCAGCUCUCCCUAACUCUCCAGCAUAGGGCAAACGCUGCCCGAUGACGCCCGCCUUAGGGGCCACGGCAUCACUGGGGUGACUGCGAGCCCCGGCCGCGGAGCCGCUGGGACGCGGCUUACCUCCCGGCUGUCGCUCCUGUGUGUGUUACCCCGCGCCAGUCACGUCCCUAAUGGGACCCUCAGUUUCGGCGUCUGUAAGGCGAGGAGGACGAUGCGCCCCCUCCCUCGCAGGAUUGAGGAUUUCCAGGUCCCAGAUGAAGAGAUAAUUCUACUUACUGGAUAUAGGAUGCAUUAGAUCUUCUUACCUUAAAAAAAAAAAAAAAAGGCAGCAAUGAUCAAAAUACUAAUAAAUUACUCACAGACUCAGUGUGUUUUUUCUUGGAGUAAAAGUCCAGGAUGGGUAAUAGAAUACCUGCUGUUGGCUUUUGGAAAAAUUGGUACUGUAUGUAGCAAAAUAAUGUGAAACCCAUAUGCAUGGAUAUUCUUAACAAUUUGAAGAAAUCUUCACAGCUUUCCUGGGUUGUUGAGCCUCUGAGAUGGUCUUUUCCUCUGAUGUGAUAAUAAAGUGUUUAUUCUGUACUCUA